rnacentral:misc_RNA from 1 species
AGUCGUAACAAGGUAUCCGUAGGUGAACCUGCGGAUGGAUCAUUAACAAAUGAUACCCUUCCACGUUUUGUGAACAGUAUUGAAUUAAGCAGUCAGUGCCUGGCACGUCCUCUAAUUUUUAGGGACGCGUUUUGGUGCUGCCUGCACAAUGUACUCACGUACCCUGAUUUUAUAUCAACUGAUGUCUAAGAGACUACUCUAAACUAAAAACAACUUUUAGCAACGGAUCUCUUGGCUCUC